CCUACGGGUGACAGCAGUGAGGAAUAUUGGUCAAUGGGCGUAAGCCUGAACCAGCCAAGCCGCGUGAGGGAUGAAGGUUCUAUGGAUCGUAAACCUCUUUUAUCAGGGAAUAAAGUGCGGGACGUGUCCCGGUUUGUAUGUACCUUAUGAAUAAGGAUCGGCUAACUCCGUGCCAGCAGCCGCGGUAAUACGGAGAAUCCGAGCGUUAUCCGGAUUUAUUGGGUUUAAAGGGUGCGUAGGCGGCCUUUUAAGUCAGCGGUGAAAGUCUGUGGCUCAACCCCAGAAUUGCCGUUGAAACUGGGAGGCUCGAGUAGGUGUGAGGCAGGCGGAAUGCGUGGUGUAGCGGUGAAAUGCUUAGAUAUCACGCAGAACCCCGAUUGCGAAGGCAGCCUGCCAGGCCAUGACUGACGCUGAUGCACGAAAGCGUGGGGAUCAAACAGGAUUAGAUACCCCUGUAGUC
rnacentral:rRNA from 1 species